GUAACCCUAGCAAAUUAGGCACUUAGGCUCGCAUAGCCAUCAACACCCCCUGUAAGCAUCAAGGAUAUGAGAUAAGAGAUCUAUACUCUCCACUGGACAUAUACGUGAUUUGCUAAUCUUCAUUGCCGGAGCUAAAUCCUUCGAUAGCCGUAUGUUCGCCUCGUUCACCUAGCCUUCCUGAUUUCCUACUUGGCCGAAUGAGCUUUCUUUAAGGUUGGUAUCUCUCACGGAAAUUGUGAAUUUCAAACAUUGAAUUUUAAUCUUGUCAGAGCUAGAGAAUAUGCCAUAAAAGAGAAGAUGAAAAAUUCGGAUGUGGGCAGUUUUUUUAGUUUUUUUCUCAUGUGUGGUAUAACUUUAGUUUUUUUUAGAAGAAUAGCUUUUGUAAAUAAAUACAUUGCUAGGUACACAUGAGUAGGAACUAGAACAAGGUAACGGAGGGUUGCACUGCACCCUCUGCUACAUUGGGUGGAUCUGUUCUUAGACUGAUAAUGCUUGUGAUCCCUUUCUUUAUGUAUUGGUUAAAUGCCAAUAAUAGUUUUUUAUUGGACAUUUUGACUUAGUAGCCAUGUGUUUCUCACUCUAAUCCGCGUACUUGACCUUUUUCUUCCACUACUUCAUUUUGUAUCUCUUAUUUGGACCCAGUACUAGGAACUAUUAAUUUUCCUAUUCCCAUUAGAAUCACAUUCAUUACAUUUUGCCAAGCAAUCAUAUCUCUUAUUCAUAGCAUAGCUCUUUUUGAACAAAUUUCCAUCUUUCCAC
rnacentral:lncRNA from 1 species